UACGGGGGGGAGCAAGCGUUGUUCGGAUUUACUGGGCGUAAAGGGCGCGUAGGCGGCCUCCGCAAGUCGACUGUGAAAUCUCCGGGCUUAACCCGGAAAGGUCAGCCGAAACUGCGGGGCUAGAGUGCAGAAGGGGCAACUGGAAUUCUCGGUGUAGCGGUGAAAUGCGUAGAUAUCGAGAGGAACACCUGCGGCGAAGGCGGGUUGCUGGGCUGACACUGACGCUGAAGCGCGAAAGCUAGGGUAGCAAACGGG
rnacentral:rRNA from 1 species